GCGAGUGAGCGGCAACAGCUCAAAUUUGAAAUCUGGCCCUAGGCCCGAGUUGUAAUUUGCAGAGGAUGCUUUUGGCAAGGUGCCUUCCGAGUUCCCUGGAACGGGACGCCAUAGAGGGUGAGAGCCCCGUCUGGUCGGACACCGAGCCUCUGUAAAGCUCCUUCGACGAGUCGAGUAGUUUGGGAAUGCUGCUCAAAAUGGGAGGUAUAUGUCUUCUAAAGCUAAAUACCGGCCAGAGACCGAUAGCGCACAAGUAGAGUGAUCGAAAGAUGAAAAGCACUUUGAAAAGAGAGUUAAAUAGCACGUGAAAUUGUUGAAAGGGAAGCGUUUAUGACCAGACUUGGCCCGGUUGAUCAUCCAGCCUUCUGGCUGGUGCACUCUGCCGGUCCAGGCCAGCAUCAGUUCGUCGCGGGGGAUAAAGGUUUCGGGAAUGUAUCUCCUCCGGGAGUGUUAUAGCCCGUUGCGUAAUACCCUGCGGUGGACUGAGGUCCGCGCUCUGCAAGGAUGCUGGCGUAAUGGUCAUCAACGACCCGUCUUGAAACACGGACCAAGGAGUCGUCUUCGUAUGCGAGUGUUCGGGUGUAAAACCCCUACGCGUAAUGAAAGUGAACGCANGUGAGAGCUUCGGCGCAUCAUCGACCGAUCCUGAUGUUCUCGGAUGGAUUUGAGUAAGAGCAUACGGGGCCGGACCCGAAAGAAGGUGAACUAUGCCUGUAUAGGGUGAAGCCAGAGGAAACUCUGGUGGAGGCUCGCAGCGGUUCUGACGUGCAAAUCGAUCGUCAAAUAUGGGCAUGGGGGCGAAAGACUAAUCG
rnacentral:rRNA from 1 species